AUGAGCUCGAGCAUGCAAGAAGGGAUGACAAGCAGUUUAGCUCAGGGAUCCUCUCGAGCCGAGGCGUCCUUCAGGGUGUACUACAGCAUCGGCGCCGGCACCGUGCCGUUCGUCUGGGAGACCAAGCCCGGCACGCCCAGGCGCACCAUCGACCCCGUAGUCGCCGCGGCCAACGACGCGCCGCCGCCAAUCACGCCGCCGCCAUUGUACCAGUCCAAGACCAUGAAGAGGUGCACAAGCACAAGGAAGUCAUCUUCUUGCUGGCCUCCCCGGAUGACGAGCUGGCUGAACAUCAGGACCCGCCGUCGUGGUCCAAUCGCGACACCCGGCUUCCACCAGACCGCGGUGUCGAUGAUCAACGGCUACAGCGGCGGCGUGCCAUCCUUGGGAGCUUCUGAGCCCGGCAUCGGCAUGGACCGUUGGAACUAG
rnacentral:rRNA from 1 species